AAAAACGGCACUUCCGGUCAAAAUUUUGACGCCACUGUAGUAUCAUCGGACUCAAAAGGACCAAACGAUCUCGAAAGAUCAAAACCCAGAAAUGAAUCCGUGGUCAACCCUAAGGAAUCAAAUUUUCAGGCCCAAGAUUUUGAUCAGAGUGUUAAUGGCGAGUGUGAGCAUCAAGAGAGCGCAGCUGCAGCAGCCACUCUGAGCAAUGGCAAGACUAAUGGGACCCAGAUUCAGAAUGGUUUCGACAUCAGUCAGCAGCAGAUGGUGGCAAAGUCUGUUGGGUAUGAGACAAAUCAGAUUCAAAGGGCUAAAUC
rnacentral:misc_RNA from 1 species